GAUGAACGCUGGCGGCGUGCCUAAUACAUGCAGGUCGAGCGAACGGACGAGAAGCUUGCUUCUCUGAUGUUAGCGGCGGACGGGUGAGUAACACGUGGAUAACCUACCUAUAAGACUGGGAUAACUUCGGGAAACCGGAGCUAAUACCGGAUGAUAUUUUGAACCGCAUGGUUCAAAAGUGAAAGACGGUCUUGCUGUCACUUAUAGAUGGAUCCGCGCUGCAUUAGCUAGUUGGUAAGGUAAUGGCUUACCAAGGCAACGAUGCAUAGCCGACCUGAGAGGUGGAUCGGCCACACUGGAACUGAGACACGGUCCAGACUCCUACGGGAGGCAGCAGUAGGGAAUCUUCCGCAAUGGGCGAAAGCCUGACGGAGCAACGCCGCGUGAGUGAUGAAGGUCUUCGGAUCGUAAAACUCUGUUAUUAGGGAAGAACAUAUGUGUAAGUAACUGUGCACAUCUUGACGGUACCUAAUCAGAAAGCCACGGCUAACUACGUG
rnacentral:rRNA from 1 species